CUCUCGGUGGCCAAGCUGGCUAAGGCGCGAGACUGUAAAGUUACUCUUCAGUACUACUGAAAUCUUGAGAUCGGGUGUUCGACUCACCCCCGGGAGA
rnacentral:tRNA from 1 species